rnacentral:rRNA from 1 species
GUUGCCAGCAUUCAGUUGGGCACUCUAAGGUGACUGCCGGCUAAAAGUCGGAGGAAGGUGGGGAUGACGUCAAAUCAUCAUGCCCCUUAUGACCUGGGCUACACACGUGCUACAAUGGGCGGUACAAAGGGUCGCGAACCCGCAGGGGGAGCCAAUCCCAAAAAGCCGCUCUCAGUUCGGAUUGCAGGCUGCAACUCGCCUGCAUGAAGCCGGAAUCGCUAGUAAUCGCGGAUCAGCAUGCCGCGGUGAAUACGUUCCCGGGCCUU